rnacentral:rRNA from 1 species
GACGAACGCUGGCGGCGUGCCUAAUACAUGCAAGUAGAACGCUGAAGGAGGAGCUUGCUUCUCUGGAUGAGUUGCGAACGGGUGAGUAACGCGUAGGUAACCUGCCUGGUAGCGGGGGAUAACUAUUGGAAACGAUAGCUAAUACCGCAUAAUAGUAGAUGUCGCAUGACAUUUGCUUAAAAGGUGCAAUUGCAUCACUACCAGAUGGACCUGCGUUGUAUUAGCUAGUUGGUGAGGUAACGGCUCACCAAGGCAACGAUACAUAGCCGACCUGAGAGGGUGAUCGGCCACACUGGGACUGAGACACGGCCCAGACUCCUACGGGAGGCAGCAGUAGGGAAUCUUCGGCAAUGGACGGAAGUCUGACCGAGCAACGCCGCGUGAGUGAAGAAGGUUUUCGGAUCGUAAAGCUCUGUUGUAAGAGAAGAACGAGUGUGAGAGUGGAAAGUUCACACUGUGACGGUAGCUUACCAGAAAGGGACGGCUAACUACGUG